CCUACGGGAGGCUGCAGAGAGGAAUAUUGGUCAAUGGGCGGGAGCCUGAACCAGCCAAGUCGCGUGAGGGAAGACGGUCCUAUGGAUUGUAAACCUCUUUAGGCGGGGAGCAAUGCCGGGCACGCGUGCCCGGAGGGAGAGUACCCGCAGACUAAGCAUCGGCUAACUCCGUCCCAGCAGCCGCGGUAAUACGGAGGAUGCGAGCGUUCUCCGGAUUUAUUGGGUUUAAAGGGUGCGUAGGCGGAGUUUUAAGUCAGCGGUAAAAUGUCCGGGCUCAACCCGGGCCGGCCGUUGAAACUGGGGAUCUUGAGUGGGCGAGAAGUAGGCGGAAUGCGUGGUGUAGCGGUGAAAUGCAUAGAUAUCACGCAGAACUCCGAUUGCGAAGGCAGCAUACCGGCGCCCGACUGACGCUGAGGCACGAAAGCGUGGGGAUCGAACAGGAUUAGAUACCCCUGUAGUC
rnacentral:rRNA from 1 species